rnacentral:lncRNA from 1 species
CCACAUCAUUUUCUCUUUCUUCCACCUAAUCAUUCAACACACAUUCAACUUUUACCCUCUCCAAUGGUUUUUAUAUUCAACACCAUACCCCACCACUUUCUCUACCCCACCACUUUCUAUUUCAUAUUCUUAUUUAAAUUUUAAUUUUUGUUUUUAUGAUUAAAUAACAUUAUAAUUAUCGAUUAAAAUUAAAUUAAAAUAAGACACUUAACAAAAAUUAGGUGUGUUUUGAGGAUGUUGAUUGAAAAAUUGAUUUGAAUUUUGAUAAUUGUUGGGAUUUUGAUAAUUGUUGGGGUUUUGAUAAUUGUUGGAGUUUUGAUAAUUGUUGGGAUUUUGAGAAUUGUUGGGAUUUUGAGAAUUGUUG